CCUCACACUGGCUCUUGAGUGGGGCUCAAGGUCCAACAAAAUGGGAAGGUCUGGGAAAGGCCCUCGGCACGCUGAAGGGCUUCCCGCGACAUCAUCAGCAGCAUCGCUGCACCAACAGCAAGAG
rnacentral:ribozyme from 14 species